AUCCUACGGGACGCAGCAGUGAGGAAUAUUGGUCAAUGGCCGCAGGGCUGAACCAGCCAAGUCGCGUGAGGGAUGACGGUACUAUGGAUUGUAAAACUCUUUUGUCAGGGAGCAAAGGGCGCCACGUGUGGCGUUUUGCGAGUACCUGAAGAAAAAGCAUCGGCUAACUCCGUGCCAGCAGCCGCGGUAAUACGGAGGAUGCGAGCGUUAUCCGGAUUUAUUGGGUUUAAAGGGUGCGCAGGCGGAAUGUACAGUCAGCGGU
rnacentral:rRNA from 1 species